UACGGGGGGUGCGAGCGUUGUCCGGAAUCACUGGGCGUAAAGGGCGCGUAGGUGGUCUUGUAAGUCUGUGGUGAAAGCCCGGGGCUCAACCCCGGGUCUGCCGUGGAUACUGUGAGACUUGAGUACUGUAGAGGCAGGUAGAAUAUCGGGUGUAGCGGUGGAAUGCGUAGAGAUCCGAUAGAAGACCGGUGGCGAAGGCGGCCUGCUGGGCAGUAACUGACACUGAGGCGCGACAGCGUGGGGAGCAAACAGGAUUAGAAACCCCAGUAGUCC
rnacentral:rRNA from 1 species